AUUGAACGCUGGCGGCAUGCUUUACACAUGCAAGUCGAACGGUAACAGGCCGCAAGGUGCUGACGAGUGGCGAACGGGUGAGUAAUGCAUCGGAACGUGCCCCGUCGUGGGGGAUAACGCAGCGAAAGCUGCGCUAAUACCGCAUACGAUCUAUGGAUGAAAGCGGGGGACCGUAAGGCCUCGCGCGAUUGGAGCGGCCGAUGUCAGGUUAGGUAGUUGGUGGGGUAAAGGCUCACCAAGCCAACGAUCUGUAGCUGGUCUGAGAGGACGACCAGCCACACUGGGACUGAGACACGGCCCAGACUCCUACGGGAGGCAGCAGUGGGGAAUUUGGGACAAUGGGCGCAAUGCUGAUCCAGCAAUGCCGCGUGCAGGAAGAAGGCCUUCGGGUUGUAAACUGCUUUUGUACGGAACGAAACGGUCCUGGUUAAUACCUGAGGCUAAUGACGGUACCGUAAGAAUAAGCACCGGCUAACUACGUGCCAGCCGCCGCAGUAAAAC
rnacentral:rRNA from 1 species